UCUUAUUAAAUAAUUUAGUUAACAUAUAUUCACAUUGGAAAGCUUCUACUUAAUGAUUAAUGUUCAAUUGGCUAACUAUCUACAUCAAGUAUAUGAAAAAGCUUCCUUUAUUUUUGAUCAUAAGCUUCCUUUAUUUUUUAUCACUUCUCUUGCUCGCAUUUGUGGUUUGCAUCUUGUUCAUUUUUCCCCUUGAUGUCUUUGUCUAAUCACCCCCCUCAUUUGGAACAGAAAGGUGAAGGGAAGACCAAUG
rnacentral:misc_RNA from 1 species